GCGGGAUUAGUUGAGCGGUUCAAUACCUCCCUUCCAAGGAGGUGAGACGGGUUCGACUCCCGUAUCCCGCU
rfam:Microgenomates bacterium GW2011_GWA2_39_19 TT38_C0015, whole genome shotgun sequence.